rnacentral:lncRNA from 1 species
UUAGAAAGUAGUGAUGAUCUCGUGUUUAAUUUUUUUUUUUUUUGUGUAAUAUGAUAUAUCUAAAGAGUUUAAUAUUUGUGAAACUGCAACAUACAUAAGUGAUUGACUUAUCAUAAGUUAAAUGAUUUUGAAUGUGAAUACUUCGUGGAAUAUAAUUGGCCAUUAUAUGUGCAAACGGUUAUGAUUAAUGACGUACUAAACAGGAUCAUUUAGACAAGAGGGGUUGCUCUGAUGGUAAGCAACCCCCACUUCCAACCGAGAGGUUGUGAGUUCGAGUCUCCCCAAGAGCAAGGUGGGAAGUUCUUGGAGGGAAGGAUGCCGGGGGUCUAUUUGGAAACAGCCUCUCUAUCCAAGGGUAUGGGUAAGGUCUGCGUACACACUACCCUCCCCAGACCCCACUAAGUGGGAUUAUACUCGGUUGUUGUUGUUGU